rnacentral:rRNA from 1 species
AGUUUGAUCCUGGCUCAGAAUCAACGCUGGCGGCGUGCCUCAGACAUGCAAGUCGAACGCGAAAGUUUCCUUCGGGGAACAAGUAGAGUGGCGCACGGGUGAGUAACACGUAGGUAAUCUACCUUCGGAUGGGGAAUAACAUCGGAAACGGUUGCUAAUACCGCAUAAUGCAGCGGCACCUAAUGGUGACAGUUGUUAAAGCGGGGGAUCGAAAGACCUCGCGUCUGAAGAGGAGCCUGCGGCGGAUUAGCUAGUUGGUAAGGUAAUGGCUUACCAAGGCUACGAUCCGUAACCGGCCUGAGAGGGCGGUCGGUCACACUGACACUGACAUACGGGUCAGACUCCUACGGGAGGCAGCAGUCGGGAAUUUUGGGCAAUGGGCGAAAGCCUGACCCAGCAACGCCGCGUGAAGGAUGAAAUCCCUCGGGAUGUAAACUUCGCAAGAAUGAGAAGAAUAAGUAGGGGACAAUACCCCCUAUGAUGACGGUACCAUUUGUAAGCCCCGGCUAACUCCGUGCCAGCAGCCGCGGUAAUACGG